AUUGAACGCUGGCGGCAGGCCUAACACAUGCAAGUCGAGCGGAUGAGAGGAGCUUGCUCCUUGAUUCAGCGGCGGACGGGUGAGUAAUGCCUAGGAAUCUGCCUGGUAGUGGGGGACAACGUUUCGAAAGGAACGCUAAUACCGCAUACGUCCUACGGGAGAAAGCAGGGGACCUUCGGGCCUUGCGCUAUCAGAUGAGCCUAGGUCGGAUUAGCUAGUAGGUGGGGUAAUGGCCCACCUAGGAGACGAUCCGUAACUGGUCUGAGAGGAUGAUCAGUCACACUGGAACUGAGACACGGACCAGACUCCUACGGGAGGCAGCAGUGGGGAAUAUUGGACAAUGGGCGAAAGCCUGAUCCAGCCAUGCCGCGUGUGUGAAGAAGGUCUUCGGAUUGUAAAGCACUUUAAGUUGGGAGGAAGGGCAGUGAGUUAAUACCUUGCUGUUUUGACGUUACCGACAGAAUAAGCACCGGCUAACUUCGUGCCAGCCGCCGCCGUAA
rnacentral:rRNA from 1 species